CCUUAGAUGGCUGUUACAGAUCCUUCCUGGGUCAUGGCAGCCUAAAAUGCAUCCAAACAUUCAGUGUCUCCUCCCUCUGCAUGCAGACACUGAACUUUCCUCAUAGAGAUUCAUUGAUUCAAUACAUCUCUAUGAGGAGAUGCUGAUUGGCCAUGGCUGUGUUUGAAUCAUGCUGGCUCUGCCCCUGAUCUGCCUCUUUGUCAGUCUCAGCCAAUCCUAUGGGGAAGCACUGUGAUUGGAUUAGG